UACGGAGGGGGCUAGCGUUGUUCGGAAUUACUGGGCGUAAAGAGCUCGUAGGCGGUGUGUCACGUCGGCCGUGAAAACCUGCAGCUUAACUGUGGGCGUGCGGUCGAUACGGGCAUCACUGGAGUUCGGCAGGGGAGACUGGAAUUCCUGGUGUAGCGGUGAAAUGCGCAGAUAUCAGGAGGAACACCGGUGGCGAAGGCGGGUCUCUGGGCCGAUACUGACGCUGAGGAGCGAAAGCGUGGGGAGCGAACAGG
rnacentral:rRNA from 1 species